AUUGAACGCUGGCGGCAGGCCUAACACAUGCAAGUCGAACGGUAACAGGAAGAAGGUUGCUUCUUUGCUGACGAGUGGCGGACGGGUGAGUAAUGUCUGGGAAACUGCCUGAUGGAGGGGGAUAACUACUGGAAACGGUAGCUAAUACCGCAUAACGUCGCAAGACCAAAGAGGGGGACCUUCGGGCCUCUUGCCAUCGGAUGUGCCCAGAUGGGAUUGGCUAGUAGGUGGGGUAACGGCUCACCUAGGCGACGAUCCCUAGCUGGUCUGAGAGGAUGACCGCCCACACUGGAGCUGAAACACGGUCCAGACUCCUACGAGAGGCAGCAGUGGGGAAUGUUGCACAGUGGGCGCAAGCCUGGUGCAGCCAUGCCGCGUGUAUGAAGAAGGCCUUCGGGUUGUAAAGUACUUUCAGCGGGGAGGAAGGGAGUAAAGUUGAUACCUUGGCUCAUUGACGUUACCCGCAGAAGAAGCACCGGCUAACUCCGUG
rnacentral:rRNA from 1 species